rnacentral:rRNA from 1 species
CCUACGGGAGGCAGCAGUGAGGAAUAUUGGUCAAUGGGCGGGAGCCUGAACCAGCCAAGCCGCGUGAGGGAAGAAGGUACAGCGUAUCGUAAACCUCUUUUGUCAGGGAACAAAGGCGGGGACUAGUCCCCGGAUGAGGGUACCUGAAGAAAAAGCAUCGGCUAACUCCGUGCCAGCAGCCGCGGUAAUACGGAGGAUGCGAGCGUUAUCCGGAUUUAUGGGGUUUAAAGGGUGCGCAGGCGGCCUGUUAAGUCAGCGGUAAAAGCCCGGGGCUCAACCCCGGCGAGCCGUUGAAACUGGGGGACUAGAGUUGGAGAGAAGUACGCGGAAUGCGCGGUGUAGCGGUGAAAUGCUUAGAUAUCGCGCAGAACCCCGAUUGCGAAGGCAGCGUACCGGCUCCACACUGACGCUGAGGCACGAAAGCGUGGGUAUCGAACAGGAGUAGAUACCCCAGUAGUC